CCUACGGGAGGCUGCAGUCGAGAAUCUUCGGCAAUGGGCGCAAGCCUGACCGAGCGACGCCGCGUGGAGGAUGAAGGCCUUCGGGUUGUAAACUCCUGUCGAGGGGGAGGAAGUCCCGAGCAAUCGGGGUUGACCGAUCCCUGGAGGAAGCACGGGCUAAGUUCGUGCCAGCAGCCGCGGUAAGACGAACCGUGCGAACGUUAUUCGGAAUCACUGGGCUUAAAGCGCGUGUAGGCGGAUGGGAACGUCGGUAGUUGAAAGCCCCCGGCUCAACCGGGGAAGUGGUGCCGAAACGACCCGUCUGGAGGGACGUAGGGGGACCUGGAACUUCCGGUGGAGCGGUGAAAUGCGUUGAGAUCGGAAGGAACGCCCGUGGCGAAAGCGAGGUCCUGGACGUCUACUGACGCUGAGACGCGAAAGCUAGGGGAGCAAACGGGAUU
rnacentral:rRNA from 1 species